AUGGAGAAUGUCAUUACCUGUCACAACCCCUCCUCAGGGAGCUUCUUCCCUUGUGUCCCAGGUCCUGCAGCACAAACUCCUGAGCUGUGCCCUGCUGGGCACUUCUGUCCUCCAGGGACCACCUUCAGCACGGAGCACCCGUGUCCCAAGGGCACCUUUGGCCCCAGGACUGGUGCCACCAGUGAGUCUGACUGCGAGCCCUGCCCAGCAGGUGAGCAGGGACUGGGCACAGAAAAUGUGCAAAGCAUUUCUCUUUUCACCUUCCUGACCCCUCCACUGCCGUUCUGUGCAGCCCCUUCCCCUGACGUGGCUCUCUGCUUCUUUCAGGGAUGUAUUGCUCAGCUCCAGGGCUAUCCCAGCCAUCUGGAUUUUGUUACCCAGGCUACCACUGUGCCAAGGGAGCCAUCAGCCCAGCCCCCUUCAAGCACAGGGUGGAAUCCUCCAGCCCUGCCCUGCCUGGCAAUGACAUCUGCCCCGUGGGUCACUUCUGCCCCAGUGGCACCGAGCAUCCCGUGCCGUGUCCCCCCGGGUCCCUGUCCGGUGCCGUGGGCCUGGGGGCAGAGGAGCAGUGCCAGCCCUGCCCUGCUGGGAGGGUCUGCAGUGGCCCAGGGCUGGCUGAGCUGGCCCAGACAUCGCUGUGUGACCCAGGGUGAGUGGCACUGCCACUGGGCAGUGACCAAACACAGCCUUGCUGUGCCUCAUAACCAAGGGACAUCCAAAUUUCCACAUCCUGGGCUCAUCCACAGCCCUUUGGUUGGGACGUGGUGCCUCCUUGUAGGUGUUCACAGACAUUCCUGUUCCCUUCACCUUUGCCUGAUAUUCUUAUAAAUAUUUCUUCUCUGUUUUCAAGGGAAAAAAAAAUCAAUAUUACAAAUGAAUUGCUGCUGCAAAUCCCUUAUUUAGUUCCAUAAUCACACUUGCUGAGAAUUUCACCUUUUUUUCCCUUUCUGAGUCCUCUUCUCCCACAAGGUGGUGCAAGAGCCAGGGACAAGGCACCGUUCCCAGGCUGUGAACAGUGCCCUGAGCAGUGUCUGUCCCUCUCAUGAGCCUCGGGGCAAGAGGAUACAGAAAUUGGAUUUAUUUUAUAAGUGUAACUGAGUCUAAGAAGUGAUUUCAGUGCAGUGUAAUGAGAUUUCAUGAGAUCUCUGAGAGGAGCUGGCUGUAGAAUGGAGCAGAGAAAAUCUCAAUGAAAUUUGUUUAGAAGUUGAAGCUAACUUCAAUUGUAUUCCCAUUGUAUUGGGAAUGCAAUGAGAGCUACGUUGAGAAGGACUGAAAAUAAUUAUUCUUGGGAAUAUGAGGGAUUUGACCUGUCCUAAUUGAACUUUAAGCUUUCCCAAAAUUUCCAUUAACCCUAAAAAUUAUUAUAGCGUAGCUGUAGCAGCAAUGAUCAAGACUUUCUUCAACUUCCAAAAUCCAUAGGAGGAGUUUGAUGAUUUUCAGCACCUUUAUCGCACAGCAUCCAUCACUGCUCAGAACCUGCUGCUCACUUGGAACUGCUCUUGUUUCCAGGCAAAAAAAGAAGCUGCUUUUCUGCUUUUCAUUCAGUGCUGUUCCUUUCCCACUCUGUUGUUUUCCUUCAGGAGUGGGAACUUUUUCUUCUAGAGAAACUCCAUCACUCGAAUCCUUGUC
rnacentral:lncRNA from 1 species